GAGGGCGCCGGAGCCGGGCAGGGCGGAGAGAUGCGCCAGCGGACUUCUAUUUGGAACUGAGUCCGACAGCUCAGGACUGGCUGCUCAAACUCCACAAUUUAAUGAAAAAUCUCAGAUGAUGACUCAGAAAACCUCUAAUGAUCUGAGGAAUAUAUUAAGGGAUUCCAGAGUCAAAGGCUGAUCAUGGAGGGCAUUGAUGAGGGAAGACUUCAGCACGUUUUUCAGCACCAGGACAAGCAUCAUUGCUCAAGGAGAGCUUGGUUGACAACAGGAAGUUAGAAGGAGUCUGAAUUGUAACAAGUGUGGCAAGAGCACCAAGAUCACUGUGUGUGUGUGUUCACAGAAAAUGUACCAAAGGGAGAAGCCUUAAAAACAAAUGGCAGGUGUGGGCACCAGAAAAUCAACACAUCGGGAAGAGAAAAAUGGCAUGGUUUUACUGUAAUUGUAAAAAGACGCCCUAAAGAGUGUCUAUCGGAUCACCCUCAAGUUGGGUCAAACGGCUCCUCUUCUCGGCUU
ensembl:lncRNA PAQR9-AS1 PAQR9 antisense RNA 1